UUUCUAGAUAAUUAGUUUUUAAGGCUGUAAAUGGUGACCAAAACCGCACCCAAAACCGCAUCGUAACAGUGCUGUAAUAGUAUCAAAAUCUCUAUAUAUACAUAUAUAUAUUUAUAUAUUUUCAGUACUAUUUGAACCGCAUCACACUUCUCCCGCACCGCAAAACGCAAUCACCAUUCGAAGCUUUAGAUUACGAAAGAAAAACACGAAUCCUCAAAGUUUGACCAAUACUUCGGUA
rnacentral:sRNA from 1 species